GCUUUUUACGGUAAUGGCGGCAACAACGUCAAACAUCAAAUAUUAAACAGACGUCCCCCGGUUGUGUCUUUGUCACUCAAUGAAGACGAGACGGAUACAUGGAGGAGGGAGAGCUGGUUCAUAAAGCACACCUGCAGCAGUGGGCGCAGUCGCUCGGUGCAUGGAGGAAACGCACACUGCAGGUAUUUAGAUCCAAACGCAGACAGCAGCGCAGCGCGCGGACAGGAUUUUAUCUCCAUCUGCGCGGAGAGAGAGAGCGGAUUCUUACGGCGAGGGGGAGACAGAGGUCCCACUCUGCCAAAGUUUAUCUCUGCUUCUUGCGUUUUCUCAAACUUGAAAACAGCCCACAAUUGGAUGUGAUCGAUGCUCGGUGCUCGCGGUGUUGUUUUCUGCCUGCAGAGCGCUCGGAGCGGCAGAGGAACGGCACGCGCCUCGAUCCGGUUUCAUGCGCUCAGGGAAGAGAGUGAUCCGGCAGCAGCAGCGGCAGCACCGGGGAUCAACCCGAGGGAUGGAAAUUACAAACGGUUUGGAUUAAUGUUGAAGUGAAAACUACAGAGUGUGGAUGAUGGACUGCGUCUCCUGGAGCGAGGGAACAUCUGAACACGUCUGAGAGAGAUGGACUCAAACUUUGUCUCAAAGCUGAAUCCCUGUCCGCUCAUCUCAGCGACUAACAGGAGGAACUGAAGGAGAGGAUGUGUUCGGAGCCUCAGGCACUGCAGAGGUGUGAAGAUGGAGCCCUGACCUCAGGUGGUAACUCCACCUCAUAAUACUCACCUCACAGUGAGUAUUUCAUCUCGUCCCUGAUGUCCUCACCACAAAGACAUCUGUGUGGCUGUAAAAACCACAUUAAGUCAUAAAGGCAGGCACAGAAUGUCAGCGCUGAAGAUGAAUAAAGGGCAGGCUCUAAAAUGUGAAAACAACGGC